rnacentral:rRNA from 1 species
AUACGGAGGGGACAAGCGUUAUUCGGAAUUAUUGGGCGUAAAGGGUGCGCAGGCGGCAGAUUAAGUGAGAAGUGAAAGCCCACGGCUUAACCGUGGAACGGCUUCUCAUACUGGUCAGCUUGAGUAUGGGAGAGGGAAGUGGAAUUUCCGGUGUAGCGGUGAAAUGCGUAGAGAUCUGAAGGAACACCAGUGGCGAAGGCGGCUUCCUGGACCAUGACUGACGCUGAGGCACGAAAGCGUGGGGAGCAAACAGGAUUAGAAACCCCAGUAGUCC